GGGCGAUUAGCUCAGGGGUAGAGCACGUCCUUCACACGGACGGGGUCGUAGGUUCGAAGCCUACAUCGCCCACCA
rnacentral:tRNA from 1 species